rnacentral:misc_RNA from 1 species
AGGCUAUAAGAUCUUUAACUACCUGCAAAAAGAAUAACAGAGCUCAUAAGCUUAAAAGAUCAAAUCAUUGCUUACUUGAGAUAAAUGAAGGCAAUCAUCGAGUGGAAUGCAUCACGAGUUCAUGACCUUAUCCGUAAAAAAUUAUUUUCUGAAUAUGAACAUAAUUUUAUGAAUCUAUCAGUUUGAAUGCUUUCCCUAUUCAGAAGUCAAACAAUGGAAUACAAGCAGCAUUAGUCCGUGGAGGGAUAGUUGGAUAAGGAUUCAAUAGUCUCCUUGAAACACCAAUUGAUACCCUGGGUUGAACCAAUGAAUCAUGGUGUUCUCAGAUUCAUCAAUAUGGAUAUAGUGCCUCAUCUUGAGAUACUAAGAGUUUCAGUCUUUUCCAGAAACCAUGGAUUACAAACUUCAUUUUAGUUCAGUGCAUCAUUAAAUAGUUGAGUCAUCUAUGACAUAAUGGAGAAAAGAAUCUUAUUUCUUAGACAGCUAGAGUUAACAGAAAGACAUGUACUUCUAAGACGGGCAUGAUCUAAGCCUGCUUCUUAGAUCUCACAUCUUUUAAUUCUUACUUCAAAAUUUCAGAAAACUUUGAGCAAAUAAAAGAUAAACAAAACUUCAUGUAACUAUCCAGUCCCCCUGCCAUCACUUCAAAGCAGGAGAAAACAACACAAUCAGGUUUCUAUUAAUCAUAUAAGAUGAUA